rnacentral:rRNA from 1 species
GACGAACGCUGGCGGCGUGCUUAACACAUGCAAGUCGAACGGAAAGGCCCUGCUUUUGUGGGGUGCUCGAGUGGCGAACGGGUGAGUAACACGUGAGUAACCUGCCCUUGACUUUGGGAUAACUUCAGGAAACUGGGGCUAAUGCCGGAUAGGAGCUCCUGCUGCAUGGUGGGGGUUGGAAAGUUUCGGCGGUUGGGGAUGGACUCGCGGCUUAUCAGCUUGUUGGUGGGGUAGUGGCUUACCAAGGCUUUGACGGGUAGCCGGCCUGAGAGGGUGACCGGCCACAUUGGGACUGAGAUACGGCCCAGACUCCUACGGGAGGCAGCAGUGGGGAAUAUUGCACAAUGGGCGGAAGCCUGAUGCAGCAACGCCGCGUGCGGGAUGACGGCCUUCGGGUUAUAAACCGCUUUCGCCUGUGACGAAGCGUGAGUGACGGUAAUGGGUAAAGAAGCACCGGCUAACUACGUG